rnacentral:rRNA from 1 species
UACGUAGGGUGCAAGCGUUAAUCGGAAUUACUGGGCGUAAAGCGUGCGCAGGCGGUGAUGUAAGCCAGAUGUGAAAUCCCCGGGCUUAACCUGGGAACUGCAUUUGUGACUGCAUCGCUGGAGUGCGGCAGAGGGGGAUGGAAUUCCGCGUGUAGCAGUGAAAUGCGUAGAUAUGCGGAGGAACACCGAUGGCGAAGGCAAUCCCCUGGGCCUGCACUGACGCUCAUGCACGAAAGCGUGGGGAGCAAACAGG